GCAUUGUUGGGGUAGUGGUAACCUGGGUCGUUGCCAUUUCUUGAACGCACCUUCGACCCGCCCCGGGUUCGAUUCCCGGACAAUGCA